GGACCUGACUGCUAUCGGAUUGAUACUAAGCCAUGCGAGUCAUUGUAGCAAUACAAGGCAUACGGCUCAGUAACGCGUAGCCAACCUAACCUAUGGACGGGAAUAACCUCGGGAAACUGAGAAUAAUGCCCGAUAGAACAUUAUGCCUGGAAUGGUUUAUGUUCCAAAUGAUUUAUCGCCGUAGGAUGGGACUGCGGCCUAUCAGUUUGUUGGUGAGGUAAUGGCCCACCAAGACUAUUACAGGUACGGGCUCUGAGAGGAGUAGCCCGGAGAUGGGUACUGAGACACGGACCCAGGCCCUAUGGGGCGCAGCAGGCGAGAAAACUUUGCAAUGUGCGAAAGCACGACAAGGUUAAUCCGAGUGGUUUCUGCUAAAGAAACCUUUUGUCAGUCCUAGAAACACUGAUGAAUAAGGGGUGGGCAAGUUCUGGUGU
rnacentral:rRNA from 1 species